UUCUUUCUACAGCCUUCAAUACCAGUGUUUAGGCCGCCAAAUAGUACACACGUUAGUACACAUGAAGCUGAG